AUUGUGAAUGCAGCUUAAGCAUUUUGAAAUAUAAAGUUAUAUAGUUAUAUUGAUAGUGUUACAAACUCACAACAUUGCAACUUAUAUACAAUAAGUAUUUAUUUGCAUGGAAAAGUUCUAAAACCACAUGCUAGCACCAAAAUAGCCUAAACUAAGUAUAUCAUCAUCACCCCCCCCCCCCUUGAACUACUAUUCAUAAUACACACACUGUCAAAUAGUAUAGUCACUUUUUGAGCAGUAUGCCUUUAAGGGCUGCAUGCUGUGAUAUCAGCACAUUAUGACAUCAUAAUGCCUGUGAACAAGAAAGUAAACAACAAUCCCUGGUUAGCUCUAGUUAGUGUCGUUGUUGCUUUGCCCUGACAUAGACGAAGACAUGACGAUGAUUUCCCAAAUUCUUUUUACAAUCUUAAUUUAUCAACUAUUUUUAUUGAACCGUGCAGGUAAGUAUACUGAGAAUUAGAAAUAAAUUGUCUUUAUUUCUCCUGAAGUCUUGAAUGUGUGCCAGGCAAACUUAAGGUAUAACAAGUUUUCUCUUUUCUCUACAGAAGAAACAACUGCCCCCUCUUUUAAUGAUGGUGGAGCACAAAAGUUAACCUACAUCGAGCAGACAUUUGCAUCCCUGAGAGAACUUUCAGAUGAGAGGGUGGAGAAGUUAUUUAUAGUACUACGCUGCUUCCCGAUUUUUGCAAUCGUAUUUAUUUUCCUGGCACUACUGUGUAACUCACUCCUGAAAAGAUAUCGGAAGCAUGAGGAGGAUAAGCUGAAGCUGGCUGAGGAAGGACUUGCUUUUCGAUCUAGUGAAGAAGAAGAAACUGAAGAUGAAGAACAAUGAAAGGAAGAGAAGGAGAAUGAUGGCUUUUCAGAAUAAUUAAAUGAGCCACAUAUACAUUUUGAAAAAUAGUGCCUGGCAUCCAAAACUGCAAAAGGACAACCUAAAAAGGACACUAUCAUUUAAAUGUUUUUUAUUUGUUCCUUUUUAUUGUAGACUAUGCAGUGUUGGACUGGGAUGCCAGGGGCCCACCAGAAAACCUUAGGCUGAGGGCUAUUAUUCCUCCUCUCCUCACUCAAC